rnacentral:rRNA from 1 species
AUUGAACGCUGGCGGCAGGCCUAACACAUGCAAGUCGAGCGAGCGGCGGACGGGUGAGUAAUGUAUGGGGACUGCCCGAUAGAGGGGGAUAACUACUGGAAACGGUGGCUAAUACCGCAUACUAUCGGAUAACCCAUAUGGGAUUAGCUAGUGGGUGGGGUAAAGGCUCACCUAGGCGACGAUCGCUAGCUGGUCUGAGAGGAUGAUCAGCCACACGGGGACUGAGACACGGCCCAGACUCCGACGGAGGCAGCAGUGGGGAAUUUUGGACAAGGGGCGAAAGCCUGAUGCAGCCAUGCCGCGUGUAUGAAGAAGGCCUUAGGGUUGUAAAGUACUUUUAGCAGGGAGGCGGUACCGGCAGAAGAAGCACCGGCUAACUCCGUGCCAGCAGCCGCGGUAAUAC